rnacentral:rRNA from 1 species
ACGAACGCUGGCGGCGCGCUUCACACAUGCAAGUCGCGCGAUGAAACUUUAACAGAACCCUUCGGGGCGAAGAUAAAGUGGAUUAGCGGCGGACGGGUGAGUAACACGUGAGUAACCUGCCUUAGACAUUGGGAUAGCCUCGGGAAACCGGGAUUAAUACCAAAUAAAAUCAUAAUGACACAUGUCAUAACGAUCAAAACUCCGGUGGUCUAAGAUGGACUCGCGUCCCAUUAGCUAGUUGGUAGAGUAAAAGCCUACCAAGGCGGCGAUGGGUAGCCGGCCUGAGAGGGUGAACGGCCACAUUGGAACUGAGAAACGGUCCAAACUCCUACGGGAGGCAGCAGUGGGGAAUAUUGCACAAUGGAGGGAACUCUGAUGCAGCGACGCCGCGUGAACGAAGAAGGCUUUCGAGUCGUAAAGUUCUUUUAUAUGGGAAGAUAAUGACGGUACCAUAAGAAAAAGCCCCGGCUAACUACGUG